CUCUGCAGUGCUUUGUCUGCUCCAUCUCUUGGCUGGUUCCUGUUUCUGGGGCAGGAAACAACUUUUUUUGUGAAGAGACUGUUAGUGUGGUACAUCAGCUGUGAAAGCAAUGAGGACUUACACUGUAACAGAGACCUGCCUGCCACUGUUGAGAUAAAUGAGAGCAUGAAGUAUGCCGAAAAAGUAUACCAAGCAAACUUGAAACUUCUGGACUAACUGUUUACGGGGUCAGGCUCUGCUUUCAUGUAUAACUCAUACUCAGAUUUCGGGAUAAGGCAAGGAAGAAGAGAGAGAGAAUCUAAGCCUCUUCUCACAACCAUAUAAUCUGCAUUCAUCUGUUACUUUCUUUUAAAUUAAGGGGACUAUGGCACUACCUUGGACAAAAUGUCUAAGUACCUAGGUGGCUAAGAAUUUGGUCCUUUGCUAUCCUUUGAGCAUGGCCCAGACCUCUGAGAAUACCAAGAAGAAAAAGAAUAAUUCCAAUGAGUAUUUCAGAGAUUCUGCUGUCAGAUGCUUUUCUGCUUUUACACGGGCUCAAUCCUGACACGACUGACUUCAGUAAAGGUCUCUCUGCUCUUUCAAUACCAAACAUUUGGGCACAACCUCUCUAUCUCCAGGAAACCCUCAGCCAUUUGUCAGACAUAAAGAGGCAAUGGACAAACCCUGUGGUUUCCUUUUGAACCUGACCCUUUCCAAGCAGUGAGGCAGUUAUGACCCAUUAAUACUUAAUGCUGAAUUCCAGAGUGAAGAAUUAUUUAUUUGGCCUAAGGCCAAAAAACCCCAUUCAGGAGAACUUCAAGUCAGAGGUGGUUCUGGGAUCAGGGAUUGCUUUUGCUCUGCUUUCAAGACAUUGACCUAGGAUGGAUUUGAUCAAAGCCAAAUAUCAAAACCUUUUGGUUCAGAUUUUCUCAGUAGAAGCAGGUGACUUCACCUCAGGUUGAGUGGUGCUCUGAGCAUCCCCCCAGGGCAUCCAGGUGCUCUGUGUGUUCUCCUUGUGAUCACCUCUGCUGGCUGUGCAGAUGUGGGGCAAAUCAGAUAGAAAAUAUCUAUUUUCUGGUGCAGAGAUGAUAAGAAAGGAGGAGAACUUAGGACAAGGGUGGGACAACCCAGGUUUUAAGGGUUGUUCAAGGCAGGACAAAGCUGAGACUGGAUCACAAGCAAGUUUUCUUCUGAUGAAGUGAGGCUGAGACUGCAAAUGGGGACCAGUGAGUGUGGGGGGUAAACUGGAAGAAAAGGACAUGGUCAGGAAGACUGUGAAUGAGGGAUAAGUGAGAGCAAGCAAGGAGCUAGAGACUGGGGUAGGAGUUUAUAAGCUGAAAAGAGUGGAGUGAGACAAGACUUUGGAUAAAUGGAGUGGUACCCGGGUAAAGGAGAAACCAGAAACUGUGACAAGAUCCUGGAAGUCAUCAUAGA